CUCUUUGAGACCAAAAAUUAAGUAGUAUAAAUUGAGCUGAAUUCAUACAUUCUUCUUUUCUGUUUCUCAGAAUCAAGAACAGAGAAAAUAAAUCCUUCAUUCAUUAUCAACGAUUUUUUCAUUCAAAAAUGCAUGUAAUAAAAAUACAUGUAUUAUGAUCUAGGUGCUGGGAAUGAACACAACCUUAGAAAAUAGAACCACUCUGCUCACUGAAGUAUUGAAACAUUGCAUAAUAUUUAAUAAUUGUUUCAGGAACGUUAACAAGUAAUGACACAAGAUCUUUGAAGCCAUGGAUUCCUGCCUUCUGCAGUGGGAGUGAUAUCUUUAAGUGUUCUUCCCAUUGCUGACCUGCAGCCACAUGAGGAUUAAAUGAAAUGAGAUAACAGCUACAAGGAAAAAGAUAGCAUUUCUGCUGAGGCUUCAUGAAGUGGGAGGGAAGGAUAAAAUGAGAAUGUCUACAUGCUACGAUUUCCUGGGUUGUCUGUUGUGAAGAACACAGUGUAUUCCAGGUCCCAGUCCCCUCUGUGGUCAGCCAUCAGACGCAAGCUGAAGGUGACAUGUUCUGUCACACUAAAAAUCAAACGGUAGGAGAAGCACAUCUUUAAAAGUUUAUCACAGAAGAAAUGAGGAAGACGAUGAAACAGAGGAUCAUGAUGAUUAUCAUAAACUAGCUGGGGAUCCCUUGGACUUUAACUCAGAGCUCCACCCUCUUAUUCUACAGAACAAAGCAAAACAAAACAAAAUUGACAAAUAUAAAGAAAAUUAUAACUCAUAAUUCACAACCAUGGAUAAGUAUUAUUCAUAUUUUGGUGGAUAUCAGUUUUUAUUAUGAAAAAUUGUAUAUCAUUGGGAUCAUAAUUAUACAUAAUUUGAUAUUGGCUCUUUACACAGAAUAACAUAACACAAGUAUUUUUAAUGUGGAUAAAAAUCUUAAUAUGUUGAUAAUCUAUUGCCUUAUUAAGAAAUAUACCAUAAUUUAAUGAAUUACUUUUAUUUUCCAGAUUUUUAAUAUAUUAAAUGAUGUAACAUGAAUACCUCUCUUUAUACUUCCCCCCAUCCCCCAUAUUUCAUAACUGACUCUUAGGAUAAACUCCCAAUGAUCUGGAUUAAGAGUAUGAAUAUUGUAAGGUCCUUGAACAUUUAUUGACAAUUGUUUUACAGAUAGCUUGUUAAUUUACAUUUACUCUAGGAACAGAGUAAAGCAAAUAACUCAUUAGACUAUCAUAAGCAUUAGAUUCUCUAAUUUUAAAAAAAAAUUUUAUUCUGAA
rnacentral:lncRNA from 1 species